UGGAAGUCUCAAAAGUCGUAACAAGGUUUCCGUAGGUGAACCUGCGGAAGGAUCAUUA
rnacentral:rRNA from 1 species